GACGAACGCUGGCGGCGUGCUUAACACAUGCAAGUCGAACGAUGAAGCAAAGAAUUGCAGCUUCGGCAGAAAUUCAUUUCGGAUUAGUGGCAGACGGGUGAGUAACGCGUGAGCAACCUACCUCUUACAAAGGGAUAGCCUCGGGAAACCGGGAUUAAUACCAUAUAACAUUGCGACGAAGCAUUUCGAUGCAAUCAAAGCUACGGCGGUAAGAGAUGGGCUCGCGUCCCAUUAACCAGAUGGUGAGGUAACGGCUCACCAUAGUAACGAUGGGUAACCGGCCUGAGAGGGUGAACGGUCACACUGGAACUGAGACACGGUCCAGACUCCUACGGGAGGCAGCAGUGGGGAAUAUUGCACAAUGGAGGGAACUCUGAUGCAGCGACGCCGCGUGAGUGAUGAAGGAAUUCGUUUCGUAAAACUCUGUUCUAUGGGAAGAAAAGGACUGUACCAUAGGAGAAAGCGCCGGCUAAAUACGUG
rnacentral:rRNA from 1 species